rnacentral:rRNA from 1 species
AUGAUGUCAAGUCAGCAUGGCCUUUAUGUCCUGGGCUACACACACGCUACAAUGGUCAGCACAAUGGGUCGCUAAGCCGCAAGGUGGAGCCAAUCCUCAAAGUUGGCCUCAGUUCAGAUUGUAGGCUGCAACUCGCCUGCAUGAAGAUGGAGUUGCUAGUAAACGCAGGUCAGCUAUACUGCGUUGAAUACGGUUCCCGGGGCUU